CAAAUUUGUUCUAAUAGCAUCAAAAGUGGUCUGAGGAUGAGCGGCACUGCACUCUCACCAUUUCCGUUAAUUCCGUUAAGCUUCCCGCCAGAUAUUGGCAACAAAUCUUAUCCGUUAACCAAAUUUCCCACCAGAAAACUUAAAUCUUUGGCUAAAAUUUCUUGCAGCCGUUCUGAUAAUUCUUCUCAUUCCACAUCCCAGCAGCAACAGCUCAACCUCUCUGUCCUUCGUUUCACUUUUGGGAUACCUGGAUUGGAUGAAUCAUACUUGCCCAGAUGGAUUGGGUAUGCAUUCGGAUCACUGUUGCUGUUGAACCACUUUGGGGGGUCGGAUUUUUCCGCCAUUACUCCAGCUCAGUUGAGAACAGAGGUUUUGGGGCUUUCUUUGGCUGCAUUUUCUAUUGUCCUUCCCUAUCUGGGGAAAUUUCUCAAGGGAGCUACUCCAAACAAUGAAAAAAGUAUCCCUGAAGGUGCAGAGCCAAUUUUUCUCAUGUCACAAAACAUUCCAGACACUUUGAAGGGGGAUUUGGCUUGGGGAACAUAUGUUCUAUUGCGUAAUACCAACACUAUAUCAGUGCUCAUUUUUAUUCAAGAUGCACUUUGUGUGCGUGGUUAUUGGAACACCCCUAAAGAUAUACCGAAGGAUCAAGUGCAUGACUGGUUUGAGAAAGAGAUUAACAAAACUGGCCUUUUUGAUCUGAGGGAGACAUUGUAUUUUCCGCAAGCUGAAGAACUAUGGGAGAUCCUCCCCAGAGGUACUUGUUCUUUCCUGAUACAACCAGUGCUGCAUACUCAGAACUCAAGUUCUGAUAAAACAGAGAUGAGCGAUGGAUUUGUUUUACUGGCCUCUAGCAGCACUUAUGCAUAUAGCAGUAAAGAUAGAGCCUGGAUAAGAGCAGUUGCGAACAAAUUCAGAGCCAUACAACAAAGAUCUAGGGAUUGGCUACCUCAUUCUAACCAGCUUUACUCGGGUAUUGCAAAGAAGCAGAAAAGGUCCUGCCUCGGGGGUUUUGUUUCUAUUCAAAUGAACUAUGUACCCUAAGAAUCACAAUUCUUAUCCCUGGAUGAAGCCAAUAAGCCACUGAUAUUAAAUUAGCCUUUGCUCAAUGCCCGUGAAUGUUUGAUGCAACAGCCUAGAGAUAUGGCUAAGAGAUUGUGCAGGGAAAUUGAAUUUUGUACCUUGGUGUAAAAAGAACUGCUGCUGCCGCCGCUGCUUCUAGCUGAUAUUGGCUCUGGCAUAUACCACCUAUGCCGAUUAUGUUCAAGAUCAAGCACGAAGGCACUUAUUUAGCCACCAAGCUUCUCCUACUUUUCCAUCCUUUUUCUUCCUUCAGUCUUUCGGGCCGGUCCAGGUGGUGUGAAGAGUUAAAAAUCUUGACCUCCUGCAUUGCAUUCAUGUUCAUUGUUAGAUUAGUGAAGGAAGGGUUGGUCAUAAAGUUGGAGAGUUUGCUUUUACACACAGGACCUUCGAGAAUAAUAAACAUUGGAAUGGGGAGGAAAUCAUAUUGAUUGCAGCUUUCUCUGGUGGAGAAGUUGCCAUGCUUCUCCUUCAGAUCUAGAGUUACCUUUGAAGGGCUUUUGGUUGGAUUUGGAGUAGAACAUAUUCUAGUCUAGGAAGCUAGUUUUUCAUUCUUCAAGAAUCCCAUCCAGAAACAACAAAUCUUGACCAUGUUUUACGUUAGCUUCAAUUGUUGUAGUCUGUUAUAUAUAUAUGCCAUCCUACGCCGAGGCAGUAUGAUACGUAAACUUGCCAGACUUGCUCGGAAUGA